AAGAAUGCUGACACUGAAAGCAAAUGAAGACAAGAAAAUAGACACUUUGCUGACCCAGACUGCAACUGAGAGGAAAGAAAUCACUUCUUAUUUUGGGCAACAACAUCGGAUUCUGAAGUAUGAAGAACAGUGUUUGAUGGAAAGACUGGAUGAAAUAGACCAGACCAUUUUAAAGCUGAAGUAUGAAUGGUUUGCUGGCUUUAUGGAGAAAAUGUUACCUCUUGAAAAUGUGAUCUCUAACAUAGAGCAGAAGUGUCAGCAGCCAGUGACUGAAUUUCUAAAGGGUAUUCAAAGCAACUUGAGCAGGUAUUUUUGGGAAAAGGAGGAAGAUCCCAU